CCCGCUGGUGAAUGGCUGCAGGCCAGGCCGAGAAGUUGGGAAGCGAUGCCUGGGCCAGAGAGGGGCCCGCAGCACGGCGAGGGCAGGGGUUCGGGGCUGAGCUGCUAUCCCUUUCAUUCCUUCCGGCUCAGAACACUGCAGAGGGCGACAGUGACUAGAGACUUCUGCUUCGUGCUUUCCUUACCUGGCACCUUGCUCCUGGCCUGAAGUUCCUGUCCUACAGCCUGAGGAACAGUUCAGCUCCGGACGCUUCCGGAAUGAGUGGAGUGAGACUUCAGGUGGGUCGGGAUAGUGGCAGGCGAGUGACAGCUCCACUUAUGCUGGUAAGUUUGGGAAGAAUGGACUUCAGAGAGCUGUGUUCUCCAUCGCUGGUUCUUUUGACUCAAUUUCUUCCAGGUAACCCUUAUUAUUUAUUCGGUGUGUAUACAAACCUGGGCAAACAAGAAUAUACUAACAUGACUGUGAUGCUUUUGAGUUUGAGAGGAAAAAAUCAAUCUACUUUUGUACCUUUAAGCCAGAGGAGUCGAUACUGUCAAGGCUAGAAGGGAAGUUAGUCCUUGGCAAGUCUGACACAGCCUAGGUGAGAGGGAAAUGAGACCUCUGUGUAGCCUUCAGGUUCCGUUUAACUGUCUUCGGGCUGGGUGAGGACAGGUGUGACCAGGCCUGGGCCUCUGGGCCACACAUGCUCGAGGCACUGCUGUGCAGAUCAGUAGUUGGAUACUCUUUUAUCUGAGACAGGAUCUCACUGUGUAGCUCACACUGGCCUCAAAGCCACUGCAUUGCCUGGGUUGGCCUCAAACCGGAAAUCUUCAUGCCUCAGUCUUUGGAGCGCUGGGAUCACAGGUGUCACCACUAUGCCUGGCUAGAUACUCGCUUUAUGGAGAAGUUUUAGGGAAUCAGUGGGCUGUCAUCCCAUCUGUCAGCCUGAAAACCAGCUAUCAUCAGCAGGGGCUGGCUGUUUUGCCCCUACCUGCCUCAGGCUGGGUUUGCUGGGGAUGGGAGAAACAUAGAAGGACAUGGGUGGUAUGACAUUCUGCUGCUGGGACUUCAGGUAAAAAUGUCGUGGGUCAUGAAACUACCCUGUCUGAAUGGCCGUCUCUCCUGUUGACUUUCAGAGAUCUAUCCAGGGACACCACAGAGGGAGCCGACCUGUGUUGUCCUUCCAGCUGAAUGCCUGGCCCUUAGUAGUUGCUCAAUAAAAGUUUGAGGGCUGGGUGAAGGGAAACCUUGCCCAUAGGUUUAGAAUCAAUUCCUUGUUUUAGAAGGCAGUGAGUGAAUGGGUAAAGAGGAUGCAUUUGUGCAGCCUGGUGCAGUCUUCAUCCCCCUGGAAUUUCCCUGCUGUUCGGCUGACAUUUUAUCACUGGGUCAUGUGUAGUUCAGCACAGGACUCUAUACCAUUUGAUAUUUUCUAAUUCAUAUAUCUAAAAUGUAUCUUCUGGCAAAAAUUUGGUUCAAAAUAUAUUUGUUGAAGCUAUCUAGGUACUUGCUAGUGUUAUCCACCAUGCAUUUGAUUCUGCAAGUUCAGCUCCACUGUGCUAAGCUUGGUAGAUAUCCAGGACCCCUAGCGCUCAGCACAGUUGGAGACACAGGAACCAGGCAGCCUUGGGACACUGGGCAAUGUCCCAGAAGUGGAGAAGAUAGAGCAGGCUGGGGUCGGAUGACUCAUAGGGCCUGCAGAUGCAAAGGUGAGGGUUAGAGUGCCUGCCGUCAGGGCUCUGGGUCCAGGGACGGCAGCACAACAUUAAAAUUAAUAGCUACUAUUGAGCAAGCUUCCAGUUCUUAUAUAAAGGAAAAUAAAACAUAGAGAGGCUGUGGCUUCUCCCAGCUGGUAGUUGGGAAGAUCACAUGGUCUGCUGUCUUCAGGCCCAUACUUUUAACCACGUGGUUUUAAAUAGAGAUGGGCAGGUUCUACAAUGUUUAACAAAUAUUUGAGUGUCUGGUUUUACCAGGCUCCGGGAAUAGUCACUGGAUAUAGCAGACCAAGUGCCUGUUCUCAUGGCAUUUACGUGUCGAUGGGAGGAGGACAUGAUCCAUGAGAGAAUGAAUAAAUGAGAAUAUCAGAGAGAGCGCAGGACCCUGGAGAGAAGAGGACAGACUGGGGCUGAAUGACUGGCCUGGAGGAGAAGCAGGUGUGCAGGGCGGAAGGGCCAGCUUGGAGCCCUCCCCAGGCAGGCCACCUGCACAGCUGGGCAGGAGUCGGGUGUUAGGGACAAUUCUGAUUGUGACUACAGAAUGGCAGUGAGAGAGGGACAAUGCUGGGGGACGCAGAGAGAGGCCGGCAGGCCCAUGGCAUCUAUGGCUGUCCCUCUGGCCACCUUGGGAAGAUGGGUUAUAGGAGAAGGAAAGGAAGUAGGGCCACCGAUGGCCAGGCAAGAAAGGUGGAUAGAGCUCGGGAGCAAAGGAAGCAGCCUGUGAGGACGCAGCUGCUCAGUGUGGGAAUGCUGGGUGCGAAUUCUCUGCCCAGGGACCCAGUGUUACAUCCCACAUACCUCAGAGGGGAGGCACGAAGAGAAACAAGGUGCAUAGAAGGCCACUGAAGGCAGGAGGGGAGGAAAUGAGAACUGAUGUUGCUACUUGACAGGGUGUCAACCCUGAAGGACGGGUCGUGCAGACCUGGAGGGACUCACCCCAGAGUCCUCAGGGGAGAAGCAAGCAGAAGAAGGGUGCUCUAACAAAGCAGUCCGUCCCCCAGGCUGGCUCCAGGCCUGGGAGGGCAGCAGAUGCCCCAGGGAGGUUGCUGGAAACAUGUUCCUCCACAGCUCCCUUACCCUGGGAAACACCCAGCCCCACCUGCACCUGUUAUUCUCUGCUGGGAUUUGGGUGCAGCCUUCAAGGUGAGUGUUCAGUAUAGACGUGGAGCCAGGUAACCCUACCCAUUGUGUCUGCCAAGGGCAUGAGCCUAGCUGGAGCUGUCUCUCGUCCACACUGGGCCUCGGCCUCUAAGGUGGGGUCGGGGUCCUCCUGUCCUCACUGGGAAUCCCCAGGUGAGACCCUGUGUGUGGAAGCACCAUGCAAAUGCUAAAGGCUCUGUAGAUACCAGGUGUUAUUUAUAUCCCCUGUAAGAGUCAGAUGAUGAUUUGAAUAUGAGGAGUAAAGGACGACUUUUUGGCUUUUGCAAUACUGGAUACUGAACCCACAGCCUUCACCUUGAACUAUAUCUCCAGUAAUAUUUUUUUUAAAACAAAGUCUUGCUGGAUCACUAAAUGGCUCAGGCUGGGAUUAAACUCACAGUCUUCCCGCCUCAGCCUCCCAGCUAAGAAUAACCUUUUGUAGUGGCAGCAUCUUAUUAGUCUCCACACUUAUCCUGUUGUUUACGUUUCCCAGCUAAGAAGUGAAGGCCAAAGGCCCGAGAGGUGGAUGUAAGCCCUGCCCAUGGUUAAGGAGGAGUCUGGAUCAAGUCCCAAUCUUCUGGCUGCAGUGCCUCUUCCUGCGGUGUCAACAACGGUGAAGGUCACCAGCAUCUGGCUGUGUCCACGUAGACAGGAACUGGCAGACGUGAUGACGUCUAGGCCUGGUUUAGCCCUGGAGGCUCCGAGGCCCGGGCCAGCUGCAUCUGUGGCCAUGCUGCAGGGUCCUUCCCUGUGCUGGGCCUUGCGCCCCCUGCAGGCUGAGCUGAGGAUGUGGCUGGGAUGGAGCGGAGAGGAAGGGAGGAGCCUGGGAGGAGGGCACAGCCUGCAGAGAGGCAUCCUUUAAAGAGAUGUCACAGAAGUCACAGCCUGCUUUUGGCAUGCAUUCUUGGUUGUUUUCUUUUUGAAUUCUUUUUGUAGUUGUUUCACAGUAACACUUUCCGCAAUGGGUGAGGGCCAAGCCUUCCUCACCUGUGAGAGGUGUGGGCCUGUAUCCUGUCUGCCCUUGGUGAUCAGACCUGCUAAAGAGUGAUACACUUCCGCCAAGUUAUGACUUGCCCUUCGGAUUCAGGAUGGAGACAGAUGCUGCUGACUGCUGUUCUUCUCUGUAUCUUCUGUGCAGGCUGGGCUCCAGGGAGUCUGCAGGGCAGGUGGGCUGGUGGCGAGGAACCCUGAGAAGGGGCCUGGGGCUGGAUCCCACUCAGCUCUCCACUCACUGAUUCCAGAGCCAGCUUGUCCAUGAGGAAGCCUUUCUUCCAUUCCCAGAGGAGGUGCCCAGGGGGAAGCCCCCAGGCCUGUCCCUUUGACCCUGCAGGAGGCCUGCUGGUUCAGGACCCCCUGCCAUCAGACUGCUGCUGUUGAGCCCAAGUUUGAUUUGCGCUCAGGAGUCUGAGCUGGUAGCCUGGCUCCUGCAGGAACCUCAUGAAAGAUGCAUUUUACCAGGCAGUUCCAGGGGAGAGACUGGCUUAAAUUACAGCUCUACAAAUCCAAAUAUUGGCAUAUCUGCAAAUCCAAAUGUGGGGAUUGGAAAAAACGUCUAAGUUCUAAGAAUCUUAUUCUGUACUUCUUGUGUGAGAAAGGGUGGAUGAGAUAUUCAAGAGGAGCCAAGGCCGUCAAUAAUGAGGGAGCUUCAGCAAAGCCAAGCCGACCUCCUUUUCUUCCCCUGGGCAGUCUUUGUGCUUCCAGGAAGCAGAGCUCUGGCAUGAGAGAAGAAGACAGCAUUUGUCAGCGUGACUUUCUGCAGGAUAGGUUGGAGGAAGCACCCCUCAGAAUGGGGUACAGGGGGGCUGGCAACUCCAGAUGGACAAUUGCUAUCUGUUUUCCCUGAACCGCUUCUGGACCCAUGGACAAGGGAUCCCCCUGGAUCACUCACUGCUUUGCAGUUUAUUUUACAGCACAGCAGGCUCAGGGAUCCUUUGGGAUUAGGAGCCAUGCUAGGUUACUGCUUUGCUCAGAACCCUUCCAUGGCUACCCAGUGCCUUGGAGAGGAGCCAGAGUGCUUGCAAUAGCUGCCUGGCCCUGCCUGGCCUGCCUUCCCAUGACCUACCUAUCUGACAGCUCACACUCACACCCUGGACCUUUGUAUCCCCCACCCAGGGCAGGCAUGCUUCUCUCCCAGGCCCUUAGCACUUCCUGUUCUUUCUGUCUGGACCACUUUGCCCCAAGUUUCCUUCACAGCAUGCUCCUUGAGGUCGUAACCCAGAUGUCCACUCCAUGGUCAGCCUUCCCUGACCACCUGCUUAGAAUCCCAGGUGCCUGGCUCUGAAACCCCAGUCAGUGCUGAAGAGAAUGAGUUGUUCAAGAGACAGGCUGACAGCGGAGUCCCUCUCUGGCUUCCUGUCUGGCCGUAUCAUCUCCCUCAUAAGCACUUCCACUGUGUGUGUGUGUGUGUGUGUGUGUGCGUGUGUGUGUGUGUGUGAAAGAAAGAGAGAGGGAGGGAUCUCACUAUGUAGCCCUUCCUGGCUUGAACUCCCUGUAAGCCCAGGCUAGCCCUGAACUCAGGACCCUCCUGGCUCAGCCUCCCACAUGCUACAGUAUUGCUGCACCCAGCUUUGCUCCCAUUACUGUGAUGCCCUGAAAUGUGAGGUCCUCACCAGGGCAGACGAGGGACUAAUGCCAGUCUUGGGCCUACAGGAAGAUAAGCUACAGCAACAUCUUUUCUUUGUAAGUACUCAUCUUCAGGUAUUUUGUUACAGCAGUGGAAAAUGGGCUAAUGCAACCCAUUUCCUGCUGUAACCUAUUAUUCUACUUGCUCCUUCAUGUUCUGUACAAUUUAAUAAUUUAUUUUUGUAUCAUGUCUCCCAAAAUGUGAACUCAGCAAAGGUUGAUGGCCUCCUUUAUUCACUGGGACAUCCCCAGCUCAUCCAACAUGGUCGACACAUGGAGGCUCAAGUCAGUGUUCGUUAAAUGCAUGAACAAAAGGGCACUGAUGUAGAAUUACUCUCACUUGCAGAUGAAGAAGUGGAUUCUACAAUGUACUCUGCCCUGCCAGGUACUGUAGUUGACACAGUUGAGUUUCACUAGGGUAAAUGAACUGGGUGCAGUGACCGCUAAGUUCACCAAGAGAUACAGCCCUGUGCUGUCCCACACAGUAGCCGCUGGUCCCAGGUGGCUAUUGAGCAUCUGAAAGUGCAUUUGUUCUGGAGGGCGCUAUGUCACAAAUGCAAAAAGCACAGUGAAGCCCAAGACUUAGUGCAAGAAAAUUAAAAUAUCUUGUUAAGUUUUUGUAUUUAUUGAAUGUUGAGAUAACAUUUUAGAUUUACCUAAUUACAUGGAGUCUGUUAUUAUAGUUGGUGUCACCUGUGUCUUUUUAAAUGUGGCCUCUGUAAAAGCUGAAAUGCUUUUUAUAUGUGUGGUAGUUUGCAUAUUUUAUUUCUGUUGGGCAGCUCUCUUCUAGCUGUUUUCAUUCUGCCUUCUAUCUCUGUCAAGUACAUUACCUCUUAUACUCUUGAGCCCAAAGUACAGUGACCUUGUCUUCCCUAUAAGAGCAAAGAUAUGCAGAAUGCAUGGAUAAGUCUCAAAGGCACUAAAAUACUCAGUCAGUUCAGGUUGUUAGAACAAAAUGUAAUGGACUAGGCAGUAUAGAAGCAACAGGGAUUUAUUUCUCACAGUUCUGACAACUGGAAGUCUGAGAUGAGGAUGAAACCAAUGAGGACAGACUCCUGCUGUGUAAACAACAACUUCUGAUUGCACCUCAAAUGGCAGAAGGAGGACACCAAGGUUCUCUGGGGUCUGUUGUAUAAGGGCACUGUUGUUUGGGGCUUAAAUGUCCCCAAAGGCUUGUGCUAAAGGCUUGGUCCUCAGCUGGCAGAGCUUUCGGGAGGUAGUACAGACAUUAGGAGGCAGGGCCUGUUUAGAUGGAGUAGGUUACCAGGGACAAUAUGCUCUAGAAAGAUAAUGGGACCCCAGCCCCCCGCCACCUUUCUGGACUAAACCCUCUGAAUCUGUGAACCAAAAUAAAUCUUUCCUCUUUUGGGUUGAUUUUCUCAGGUAUUUUGUCACAACAAUGGAAAGCUGACAAACACAGGCACUAAUCCCAUUCACAUGAGUUCCACCCUUGUGACCUGAUCCUCUCCUGGAGUCCCCACCUCCAAUACCAUCAGAGUAGGGGACAGGAUAUCACCAUAUGAAUUUUGGGAAGUGUGUUAGUCACUUUCUCAUUCCUGGGACACUAUUCCUGACACCUGCAGUUUAAAAGAGGAGAGGAUUAUUUGGCUCACAGUUGCCAGUGUGUUCAGUCCAUGGUUGGCUGACUCCAAGGUGAAAAAUCAUGGUGGCAGGGCAGGGGGGAGGAAUGACAGCCAGGAAGCAGAGAGCAAAGGGGGGAGACAGAGACUAGAAUAUAUACUCUUCCAGGUCACACCCCAGUGACCCACCUCCUCUGUGCGGGUCCUACCUCCCAACAGCACAUUCAGCACCCCUGAGUCAGUCACUUUCCAAACACAUGGGACUCUGGGGGUGGGCACCUUUUAGAUUUAAACCAUGGCAGAUGACACAAGCAUUAAGUACACAGCACUACCUAAAGAAUACAUAUCUCUCCAAAGGACAGUCAUUUUCAAUGAGAAACACUUAAGUGGAUGAAUGUAGCCUCCAAGAGUGAUGUGUCUUUAGCUCCUUUCAACCGAAGCAGAUAGGCACCACCAGGAGCUUGAGAGCUGGGUCUUUGAGGAAGGGAAUUCCAAUGUAAGGGAGUUGAAUGAAGCUGCUCUCAUAGACCCAGGGCACUCAUUCUUAACAUUAUUGAGUAUGUCAGUAAUGGCAACUCAGAAACCUGGAAAACAGUGGGCUGCUGGUGUGGACGUACUCAUAGAGAAGGGAAAUUUACUCGAUAAUUACUGGAAAGUUUGGUCCAUCAGUCACCUGGGAGGCUGGGGUUAUGCAUAUGAACUGUGGGCUGGGUUCAUAUGAACCCCUUUCAAAAAAUGGGUUGACUGCAAGCAUAAAGAUCACACUUCAAAUAAUGGGGAGUUCACAAAGGUGAUAGUAGGGCAGCAGCUAAUGUUUCUUGAGUGCUUAGUGUGUCCAGCAGCAUUCCAAGAGACUUGUGUGUGUUCAGACCAAUCUUUAUCUGGGAAGUAGACAUUCAUUGAGCAAACGGAAGAAAUGCAGCCACCUUGCCCAUGGUCACAUAGCUAGUGCCAUGGCAUGGGGAUAACUUCUAGCCACCCACCCACCUCCCUGAGACACAGCCAGCAUAGCCUGGUCCCUCUGUUCUCUCACUGCAUGAUCUUUAUGGACCGGGCUCUGUGUGUGUGUGUGUGUGUGUGUGUGUGUGUGUGUGUGUGUUUGUGAUGUCACCAUCCCUCCAGCUUCACUCCUGCCAUGCUCGCACCAGCCAGCUCUGCUCCAGCCACACCAGUCCUUGACUUCCUGUCUGUGCCACACUCAUAGUUACCUCAGAAUUUGACCUAUUUUCUAGACCUGGGAUUGCCUUCAUUCUGUUCUCAAAGCUAAAUCUUUUGCAUUCUUUUCACCUCACUUUAAAUCCUUCACUAACUUCUGGUUACUCAUGUCUUCAGCCCCUUUUGUUUGUCACCUGCAUGACACAUCACCACAGUGGUUUUACUUCCUUCUUCUCUAUUCAUCACUGCAGGUCUUUCUAGAACCCCAGGCUUUGACAUGUCCCUCGUGUCCUCCCAUUGCUCAGCAUACUGACAUCCACACAGUAAAUGCUUAGAGAAUAUGUGUAAAGUAAAUGAGUCUCUCUUUGCAUGAGCCUGAUGUUCUUACCAUGGUGGAUUAAGAGGACGGAUCCUCCUGCAAAUUAUUUUGGGUUUCAGAUAUUGCUCACAUUUGCAAAACUAAGUUAUUAAGUGGAACCAGGAGACAGUUGACAUAGUAAAGUGUGGGUCAAGGAGGAGAAAGAGAAAAAAAAAAGAAGAGGAAAACAUCAAAAAUACCUGCUAAGAAAAAAAUACCAGGAAAGGGUUUUGCUAAAGUUGGUUGCAUCGUCACUUGAUUGGAAGUUAUUUAAAUGAAGGAGAGAUGAUUCCAUGAGUAAAGAACUAAAGAAU